rnacentral:rRNA from 1 species
GCUUUGCGGCACGAGUUGUAGAUUGCAGGUUGGAGUCUGUGUGGAAGGCGGUGUCCAAGUCCCUUGGAACAGGGCGCCCAGGAGGGUGAGAGCCCCGUGGGAUGCCGGCGGAAGCAGUGAGGCCCUUCUGACGAGUCGAGUUGUUUGGGAAUGCAGCUCCAAGCGGGUGGUAAAUUCCAUCUAAGGCUAAAUACUGGCGAGAGACCGAUAGCGAACAAGUACUGUGAAGGAAAGAUGAAAAGCACUUUGAAAAGAGAGUGAAACAGCACGUGAAAUUGUUGAAAGGGAAGGGUAUUGCGCCCGACAUGGGGAUUGCGCACCGCUGCCUCUCGUGGGCGGCGCUCUGGGCUUUCCCUGGGCCAGCAUCGGUUCUUGCUGCAGGAGAAGGGGUUCUGGAACGUGGCUCUUCGGAGUGUUAUAGCCAGGGCCAGAUGCUGCGUG